rnacentral:misc_RNA from 1 species
AACGCACAUUGCGCCCGCCAGCACUCUGGCGGGCAUGCCUGUCCGAGCGUCAUUUCAACCCUCAGGCCCCCCUCGGGGGGACUGGUGCUGGGGAUCAGCGGCCGCUCGGCCCCUGUCCCUCAAAUUCAGUGGCGGUCGCGCCGCAGCCUCCCCUGCGUAGUAGCACACCUCGCACCGGAGAGCGGCUCGGCCACGCCGUGAAACCCCCGACUUUUCAAGGUUGACCUCGGAUCAGGUAGGAAUACCCGCUGAACUUAA